AUUGAACGCUGGCGGCAUGCUUUACACAUGCAAGUCGAACGGUAACAGGGUGCUUGCACCGCUGACGAGUGGCGAACGGGUGAGUAAUGCGUCGGAACGUGCCGAGUAGUGGGGGAUAACGCAGCGAAAGUUGUGCUAAUACCGCAUACGUACUGAGGUAGAAAGUGGGGGACCUUCGGGCCUCACGCUAUUCGAGCGGCCGACGUCUGAUUAGCUAGUAGGUGAGGUAAGAGCUCACCUAGGCGACGAUCAGUAGCGGGUCUGAGAGGAUGAUCCGCCACACUGGGGCGGGAAAACGGCCCAGAAUCAUACGGGAGGAAGCGGUGGGGAAUUUUGGACAAUGGGCGCAAGCCUGAUCCAGCAAUGCCGCGUGUCUGAAGAAGGCCUUCGGGUUGUAAAGGACUUUUGUCAGGGAGGAAAUCCUAGUGGCUAAUAACUGCUGGGGAUGACAGUACCUGAAGAAUAAGCACCGGCUAACUACGUGCCAGCAGCCGCGGUAACAC
rnacentral:rRNA from 1 species